rnacentral:rRNA from 1 species
CCUACGGGCGACAGCAGUGGGGGAUAUUGCACAAUGGGGGGAACCCUGAUGCAGCGACGCCGCGUGGGUGAAGGAGCGUUUCGGCGCGUAAAGCCCUAUCGGCAGGGAAGAAGAUGACGGUACCUGACCAAGAAGCCCCGGCUAACUACGUGCCAGCAGCCGCGGUAAUACGUAGGGGGCAAGCGUUAUCCGGAUUUAGUGGGUUUAAAGGGAGCGUAGGCCGGUCUUUAAGCGUGCCGUGAAAUUUUGUGGCUCAACCAUGAGAGUGCGGCGCGAACUGGAGACCUUGAGUGCGCGGAAGGCAGGCGGAAUUCGUGGUGUAGCGGUGAAAUGCUUAGAUAUCACGAAGAACCCCGAUUGCGAAGGCAGCCUGCCGCAGCGUUACUGACGCUGAAGCUCGAAAGCGCGGGUAUCGAACAGGAUUAGAUACCCGUGUAGUC